GUAGGUGGCAAGCGUUGUCCGGAAUUAUUGGGCGUAAAGCGCGCGCAGGCGGUUCUUUAAGUCUGAUGUGAAAGCCCACGGCUCAACCGUGGGGGGUCAUUGGAAACUGGAGAACUUGAGUACAGAAGAGGAAAGCGGAAUUCCACGUGUAGCGGUGAAAUGCGUAGAGAUGUGGAGGAACACCAGUGGCGAAGGCGACUUUCUGGUCUGUAACUGACGCUGAGGCGCGAAAGCGUGGGGAGCAAACAGGGAUUAGAUACCCUGGUAGUCCACGCCGUAAACGAUGAGUGCUAAGUGUUAGGGGGUUUCCCGCCCCUUAGUGCUGCAGCUAACGCAUUAAGCACUCCGCCUGGGGAGUACGGCCGCAAGGCUG
rnacentral:rRNA from 1 species